rnacentral:lncRNA from 1 species
GAUCAAGCUGUGGGUGUCCCCAUUCACUGUAGGGAAGUUAGACCAGAUGGCCUUUAAUUGUCCUUUCCAAUCAAAUGAUUCUGUGUUUCUACAUUAUCUGGACUUAACAGCUGGUGUGGGUCUUAGCCAUGAUGGGAAGUAAGUCAAGAUUUGAGCAGCCUGGAAGAAAGAGCUGAAGCCAUGCUCUGGUUGUAGCUAUGUAGACACAGCCUUUAAGGCUUAACACCUUUCAUAACCCUUCAGUUUCCCUUUCCUGUAGGUACGCCUUCUCCUCUUAAGCUUUUGUCACCUUUUCAUUUCCACAGCAAAGAGUCCUGAAAUUCAUUUCUCUGUUAAAUGGACAGUUACUUUCUUGCUGGUUGUGAACCUCAAUCCUAGCAGCUUUAUUUGCAGUCCUCAGUCCUUCUGCAAGAGAAGGCUUUUGUACUGAAAGAGAUAAUUCUUCAUUCUUCCUGCGUGUCCACCCAGGACAUCCUCCUGUUCUUAUGUAGCUAUUAUCCUUGUAAUCAUCAAGGUUGUAUAACGUGCACAACAGAGGCAGGAGGAUACCCUUUUAUAGCCAACAGCCAAGAAGUACAUAGGCUGUAGGCCUAUGUUUUGUUCUUCCUCAGGGACAAGCUCUUCAUGAGUACAGUUUCUUCAUUGCGAGGAGUUACUUUGAUGUCCAUCCAGUGCCUCCCAGGGGAUUUCGUACCUAAAGGAGAGACUUCAGACAGUGAUCCUGGCCCACGAUGCAGUCAAAUAUCCAUAGAGAGAGAAACUUUAUUUUUUCAGGAAGAAACAUUUCUCUGAAUCUGUGCAAAAAAUUCAUGUUUCACACGUUUUCCUGUGUGGAAACAGCCUUUUUGUGGGCAGGGUCCUUAGAGCCACAGGUUUCCAGCACCAGGAGGGAAUGAGACAUUUACAAUGAAAAUACAAUGCUAUCACCUCAAUCAUUUCAAGACAGCAUUGCAAAAUGCAUGGCCACCUUCCAGCUGAUAUGUGUUCCAUCAGCUAAAGCAACACAUCCACAUGCCAACGGCUCUUCUGGGUCUGCUCUUCUCUAGCCACAGCUACUGCAACCCAUAAGAAGUGCAGUAGUGUGUUCGCUGACUCCCCAUUGAACCAUAUCAUUCUGUCAGGAACCACCACGGAACAUCCAGUGUAUCCUUUCUACCACAACACAGUGCAGAGAAUUAAUUAGGAGGCAUCCCAGCUCUUAGAUAAGUAGGGAAUACCCUGUGCCUACUAGCACUGCAGCAAUUGCUGGGACUGCUUUCCGGCUUAAAACCCUUGUUAAAGAACUUUUAGUCAAGGCUGUGGUUCUUACAAAGGUUUUUCAGAAGAAAGAGACAUGACUUCAUCCUGUUAGCAAGUGUUAGGGAAGGAAUCAUGCACCAAGGUCCCAGAGGCAUUCAGGAAUCCAAAAUGUGCAGAGCCAGUAAGGGACAGAAUUGCUGGAAUAACAAAAGUUGCAUUACUAUAGCCUAGCAGUUUGAUCCAACGCUAGUUCUGGAGACUCACCUGCAACACAAGCGGAAAACCACCAGCUUGUGCAGCUCUUACACAGACCCCAAAGCAGGAGGAGUCAGCUCUUAUGCGCUUCGCACAGAAUGGUUGCAAGGGAUUAAGUGAAUCCAGUUUAAUUUCCAUUUGUCUUCUGAUGAAAUCUGUAUUGAAGUCAUUAUGAUAGCAUGGGUUUUUUCCAGAUGUGACAGUAAAUGUGUGCAGGCACACUUUUAAUCGUCUGCGGGGCUAGAAAGACAUUUUAUGAUCUAGAUGGACAAGGCUGUUUAAUGUCUGAGGGAAAAAA